rnacentral:rRNA from 1 species
AUUGAACGCUGGCGGCAUGCUUUACACAUGCAAGUCGAACGGUAACAGGGACUUCGGUCUGCUGACGAGUGGCGAACGGGUGAGUAACAUAUCGGAACGUGCCCAGUAAUGGGGGAUAGCUCGGCGAAAGCCGGAUUAAUACCGCAUACGCCCUGAGGGGGAAAGUGGGGGAUCUUCGGACCUCACGUUAUUGGAGCGGCCGAUAUCGGAUUAGCUAGUUGGUGGGGUAAAGGCCUACCAAGGCGACGAUCCGUAGCUGGUCUGAGAGGAUGAUCAGCCACACUGGGACUGAGACACGGCCCAGACUCCUACGGGAGGCAGCAGUGAGGAAUAUUGCGCAAUGGAGGCAACUCUGACGCAGCCAUGCCGCGUGCAGGAAGAAGGCGCUACGCGUUGUAAACUGCUUUUAUCCGGGAAGAAACCCCUCCACGUGUGGAGGGUUGACGGUACCGGAGGAAUAAGCACCGGCUAACUUCGUGCCAGCAGCCGCGGUAAAGU